GUCUUGUGCCCAUUCCAAUACAAGAUAAUGCCUGCCCAGUGAACCAAAACUUUUAACGGCCGCGUUAGCGUGAGCGUGCUAAGGUAGCGUAAUAAACAGCCCCUUAAUUAGGGGCCAGUGAAAGGCAACACGAAAGUCAACUUUCCCAACCUACGAAAAGAAAAAUUUUCCUUCAUGUUAAAAGACAUGAAUAAAAGAGGAAGACAAAAAGACCCCGCGGAGCUUUACCAAUAAAAUUUUCUAUAAUCAAGAAAUCCAUAAAAGGUUUGGUUGGGGCAACCUUGGAACAAACAAAACUUCCAAUCAUAACUUAUAAGAUCAUACAAAAUACGUUAAAGACCAAAAAGAAGUUACCCCGGGGAUAACAGCGUUAUCUGAUUAGAGAGUACACAUCGAAAAUCAGGUUUGCGACCUCGAUGUUGGCUUAGGAAAAUCCAUGUUCACCCCCAGCGCAACAGCUACACAAUGGACGGUCUGUUCGACCAUCAAACCCCU
rnacentral:rRNA from 1 species